AUUGAACGCUGGCGGCAUGCCUAACACAUGCAAGUCGAACGGUAACAGGUUAAGCUGACGAGUGGCGAACGGGUGAGUAAUGUAUCGGAAAGAGCCGAGUCGUGGGGGAUAACGGCUGGAAAGAGCAGCUAAUACCGCAUACGACCUGAGGGAGAAAGCGGGGGAUCGCAAGACAGGGGGCGAUUGGAGCGGCCGAUAUCAGAUUAGGUAGUUGGUGAGGUAAAGGCUCACCAAGCCGACGAUCUGUAGCUGGUCUGAGAGGACGACCAGCCACACUGGGACUGAGACACGGCCCAGACUCCUACGGGAGGCAGCAGUGGGGAAUUUUGGACAAUGGGCGCAAGCCUGAUCCAGCCAUGCCGCGUGCGGGAAGAAGGCCUUCGGGUUGUAAACCGCUUUUGUCAGGGAAGAAAAGGUUCUGGCUAAUACCUGGGACUCAUGACGGUACCUGAAGAAUAAGCACCGGCUAACUACGUG
rnacentral:rRNA from 1 species